GACCCAUCUAUAUUCCCUGACCUCUGCACUUCACACCGCAAGAAUUUGAUUGCACAUGUUGAAAAACCAUCAAAAGCUGCAAGACAUCAAAAGGAGAUGCAUCAAGGCAAAGGAAGAGCUGUCGGAGAAUUUGCACGUUAGAUUGAAGUGGAUAAUGUAUAUAGAGAGGCGCCUGUACGAGGCGGACACGCGCGUCUCCAUGCAUCAAGAGAGUGUUCGGCGCCUGGCUGGACUCCUGCAGGUGGUGGAGCAGAUUCACCGCGCCCCGAGGGUCUAUGCCGCAGCCGUCACGGAGGUGGCUCGCCGGCACGCCUUCUCCAGGGCCUUCCUGCAGUGGGCGUCUGAGCUGAGCAGCCAGAGUGGAGAGGUGUGGAGGCGCGAGGUGGAGGCAAGAAGAGGCUUUUCCCAAGACUUCUCCACCCACUUCCUAGCCUCUCUCUUUCCUGGUAUGGAAGAUCUGCCCCCUAAUUUUGCAACCUCUCUACCAUCCCAGUUUGACAUGGCUCUCCCUAAGGUUACCAAGGAAAAUAUAGAUGAAUUGAGAAGACUGCUGCCAGAACUUUAUCACUGUCUGGUCAUUGGUGAGGUUCUGGCAGUUCCCCCUCUGCUUCGCCAUGUCACAGCUGGCCUCAACACACAGGAGGAGAGGAGGAGGA